rnacentral:rRNA from 1 species
UACGUAGGGGGCAAGCGUUGUCCGGAAUCAUUGGGCGUAAAGCGCGCGUAGGCGGCCAGAUAAGUCCGGUGUGAAAGUCCCAGGCUCAACCUGGGAAUGCCGCCGGAAACUGUCUGGCUAGAGUCCGGAAGGGGCCAGUGGAAUUCCCGGUGUAGCGGUGAAAUGCGCAGAUAUCGGGAGGAACACCAAUGGCGAAGGCAGCUGGCUGGGACGGUACUGACGCUGAGGUGCGAAAGCGUGGGGAGCAAACAGG